rnacentral:piRNA from 1 species
AAUGAAAGAGGAGACCACAAUAGAACACUG